UUUUUUUUUUUAUUUUAUUUUAAAGAAGGAAAUAGAAAAAAAUAGGUAGCAUGUAUUCUUCUUUUCUUUUGCAGAACGCUUGUUUGCCUUUCCUCCUUGAAAUGCAGGAGUUUUACGAGCUAUCUAUUCCUUUAACCUCUGCUGUCCUCCUGAUGCCCUCCUGAUCUCCCAUUUAGUGAAUCUCAGCUCCAGAGGAGCAUCCUGCCUCUACGUGUGCCAUGUCUUCUCCUUGCUCCUGACCAAUGCCUCAGUCUAGACUGAGCCCAUCUAGAAGGUACAACAGAGAUGAUUUUCCGCAGCUUGUUUUAUGCCUCCGUUUCUUCUCUUUAGUAUCUUCCAGUGAAAUUCAACUACUCCAUUCACCUGCAAGGCUCUCUGCGGCUUGUCCUACCUGGCUUGUCCCCCCCUGUCAGUAUGAGAGUGUACUGCUGAUGAGCCACCAGCUUGUUGUCAGCCAGUUAAUAAAUUUCAAACUUUCACACAUCUUCCUUUUUUGCUGCCUUUUAGGGGAAUUUUCCCCCAGAUAAUGCAAAGUUUACUCAUUAUUAUGGUUCAUAGCCCUUUUUAGGGCUUUUUUAUCAUGCCUACAAUAAAGCUGACCAUGGUCCAACAGGAGGUGCAAUGAAACUGCAAACUAGUAUUCCCUCUCUGUUUUCCUGUCUUUCCUCUCUUUUCUGUGCUUAUGGGUUCACGGGCUUGUUUUGUACUUUGAAGGCUUUGUACUUUGCAGCUGUCUACUACUUUGCAGCAGUGCUUUGCUGUCCUCAGCAUUGUGUGGACCUUUUAAGUGAUAUACUGUUAGAAACAUAUUUGAGCAUGUGGGUCUAAAGCACAUAUAGACAGCCCACUAAAGAAAUUCCUAUGAAAGUACACUAUUACUCAUUGCUCCCAUCUCUCUACAAGGGCAUGAGAUUAUUUUGCCACCUGUGCAAUGCUAACAUUCAGGAUUUUAAGAGUACCCUAUCCUAAUUAUUAUCAAUCUUUGAGAAAAGCAGGUAACUUUAAUGCUACUCCACUGUCCUAAGUGCUUAAAUACAUACACAGACC
rnacentral:lncRNA from 1 species